UACGGGGGGGGCAAGCGUCGUUCGGAAUUACUGGGCGUAAAGGGCGCGUAGGCGGCCUGCUAAGUCGGACGUGAAAUCCCUCGGCUCAACCGGGGAACUGCGUCCGAUACUGGCGGGCUUGAAUCCGGGAGAGGAAUGCGGAAUUCCAGGUGUAGCGGUGAAAUGCGUAGAUAUCUGGAGGAACACCGGUGGCGAAGGCGGCAUUCUGGACCGGCAUUGACGCUGAUGCGCGAAAGCCAGGGGAGCAAACGGG
rnacentral:rRNA from 1 species